AUUUCCGUUGUUGACACGGCCUCGGCGCUGGAUUAACAAUGCCUGGGUGAAGAGGCCGUUGUGUUCGUCGGUAGGUAAUUCUGGUGAAAGAAAUGCAUGCAGCUUGCACUGGUCUAAAGAAAUGACUGGUCUUGCAACUUGCCAUGGGAGUUCAAAUUCGCACGUCAAUUGCCGUGUUGUUUUACAAUCUUCUGCAUGCGACAAAGGUACUGCUCGUCAGCGCGAUGACGAGGGGGGUUGUAAGUUGAGGAUGACUCGGUGUUUGUGUUGGGCGAGACAUGCAGAUGGGAAG